UGGGGAAUUUUGGACAAUGGGGGCAACCCUGAUCCAGCAAUGCCGCGUGUGUGAAGAAGGCCUUCGGGUUGUAAAGCACUUUUGUCCGGAAAGAAAUCCCUUGCCCUAAUACGGCGGGGGGAUGACGGUACCGGAAGAAUAAGCACCGGCUAACUACGUGCCAGCAGCCGCGGUAAUACGUAGGGUGCGAGCGUUAAUCGGAAUUACUGGGCGUAAAGCGUGCGCAGGCGGUUUUGUAAGACAGGCGUGAAAUCCCCGAGCUCAACUUGGGAAUGGCGCUUGUGACUGCAAGGCUAGAGUAUGUCAGAGGGGGGUAGGAUUCCACGUGUAGCAGUGAAAUGCGUAGAGAUGUGGAGGAAUACCGAUGGCGAAGGCAGCCCCCUGGGACGUCACUGACGCUCAUGCACGAAAGCGUGGGGAGCAAACAGGAUUAGAUACCCUGGUAGUCCACGCCCUAAACGAUGUCAACUAGUUGUUGGGGAUUCAUUUCUUCAGUAACGUAGCUAACGCGUGAAGUUGACCGCCUGGGGAGUACGGUCGCAAGAUUA
rnacentral:rRNA from 1 species